AGCGCCCACCGCCCGCUUUCUGGCCCGCGUUGCGCCGCGGGCACGGAUGCGAGCGAGCACACGCGCGCGCGCGCGCACACACACACACACACGCGCGAGUUACACAAACCAGGGGUGAGCGCGCGAGGACUCUGUGGACCCACUGAGACUUGUAUGCAAAUGGAGCGCUUUGCCUCUCCCUGGCUUGUGCACAAACUUGCAAACACACAUUGCACUUUCGAGUUGGUCCAAACCCCCAUCCCAGGGAAGGCUAAUAAAUAUGGGUGUGCGUGUGUGCCUUCCCGGCUCCAGUCCCUUGGGAGCUGGGGAGCGGCUGAUUUGUUGGGGUAGCGGGAUCUUCCGCGAUGGCUCAAGGUCUCCACAUCCCCUGCGCAGUCAGGGGUCGCUCUGCUGGGCCAAACGGAGGGCGUGGGACGCUUGGCGCAUGGGGGCUCCAGGCUUGCGCGAGAGCCAGGUACUGCUGGCGCCGUGCUCUCGGGGAGAGUUGGUGGUUCUCUAGAAAGGAGCUUCCUCACCCCCAUCCCCUGCUGCUUUGACCAAAUCAAAAUCGCUGUCAGCUUCUUGUUUGAAAAAUGGAGAUGACGAUCUUCGCAGGACCGUGAAGAUCCUGGGAGAUACUGCACUUUAAGCGCACAAAGCCAAGUGAACAGCAAGAUGAAAUUUCCCAAGUGAAUACAGCACUUUCGUAACCAGCACCUAGAAGCUCCUCUCGUGGUCCCUUUCAGUCAUUUCUCACCCCUGGUGGGAGGUGGGGGUUGGAUACAAAAAGAAACUCAAUGCAAUGUAAAAUAUUUCCUUUUA